rnacentral:rRNA from 1 species
UACGAAGGGGGCUAGCGUUGCUCGGAAUCACUGGGCGUAAAGCGCACGUAGGCGGAUUGUUAAGUCAGGGGUGAAAUCCUGGAGCUCAACUCCAGAACUGCCUUUGAUACUGGCGAUCUCGAGUCCGGAAGAGGUGAGUGGAACUGCGAGUGUAGAGGUGAAAUUCGUAGAUAUUCGCAAGAACACCAGUGGCGAAGGCGGACUCACUGGCCCGGUACUGACGCUGAGGUGCGAAAGCGUGGGGAGCAAACAGG